rnacentral:rRNA from 1 species
UACGGAGGGUGCAAGCGUUAUCCGGAAUUACUGGGUUUAAAGGGUGCGUAGGCGGCCAGAUCAGUCAGGCGUGAAAGUUUUCGGCUUAACCGGAAAAUUGCGUUUGAUACUGUUUGGCUAGAAUCAGGAUGAGGUUGGCGGAAUGUGGCAUGUAGCGGUGAAAUGCAUAGAUAUGCCAUAGAACACCGAUUGCGAAGGCAGCUGACUGGACCUGAAUUGACGCUGAGGCACGAAAGCGUGGGGAGCGAACAGG